AUUGAACGCUGGCGGCAGGCCUAACACAUGCCAGUCGAGCGGAUGAAGGGAGCUUGCUCCUGGAUUCAGCGGCGGACGGGUGAGUAAUGCCUAGGAAUCUGCCUGGUAGUGGGGGAUAACGUCCGGAAACGGGCGCUAAUACCGCAUACGUCCUGAGGGAGAAAGUGGGGGAUCUUCGGACCUCACGCUAUCAGAUGAGCCUAGGUCGGAUUAGCUAGUUGGUGGGGUAAAGGCCUACCAAGGCGACGAUCCGUAACUGGUCUGAGAGGAUGAUCAGUCACACUGGAACUGAGACACGGUCCAGACUCCUACGGGAGGCAGCAGUGGGGAAUAUUGGACAAUGGGCGAAAGCCUGAUCCAGCCAUGCCGCGUGUGUGAAGAAGGUCUUCGGAUUUUAAAGCACUUUAAGUUGGGAGGAAGGGCAGUAAGUUAAUACCUUGCUGUUUUGACGUUACCAACAGAAUAAGCACCGGCUAACUUCGUG
rnacentral:rRNA from 1 species